UUUGGACAUUCUUUUACUUUGGUGUUUUUUACUUUUUAUUUAUUUUCAAAAUGAUGUUUAAGAAAAGGAAUGAAUGAAAACAAUAUUCCAAGAUCCAGGUAACUUCCAUGUUAACACUGGGGGGGGGGAGUUUUGUGGGGACCAUCAGAUCUAGAAGGAGUCAGGGGUGCAGUCCCACUUGUUGGUGGGUCGGCGAUGGCAUUCCCUCUACUGACCCUCCCGCGGGGGUUGCGGGUGAUUGCAGGGGCUUAGGGCAGCUGAACUGCGCAGCACCUCCCCACGCAGCCGAGGUUGGAAGCCACCUUCCGCACGACACACUCCCCGUCAGUCUCCCCUCCUCUCCCAGCUCUUCUCCCUAACUUUGGUCGAGCAGACUCCUUCUCAUCCUUCAGGUCUCAGCCUAAACCUUGCUCUCUCGUGGAAGAUGUGCCAAUGUCUACCUCCCAACCUAAAUCAGAUCCGCCGACUGCUCAUCGUCGUGGUGUUUUUUCACGGUGCCGCCGGCAGCUUGAAUAGAGGAGAAUCUCAGUAGAAGACACUGACCUCCACUGAAAUAAAUCAUUGAACACAUACGAGCAGCCGUGCCGCGCGACCUGUGAGAUCGUAGUUCCCCCACCAGGGAUGGUGCUCGUGCCUGCUGCAGUUGAAGCACAGAGUCUUGACCACUGGACCACCAGGGAAGUCCCAAGGCAAAAAUGUUUUAGUAAACAUUAGGCUCAGUGGUAUUCAAUGGUAGGAUUCCACCUCUGAAACAUUCCUUGACUUUUCUUAUAACAUCUGUGCUAACGGUGCUUUACAAAUUAUGGUGCACACACUAGGCUUGGUUGAAGUAAUAAAGUUUAGGAAAUUAACACAAAAUUCCUGGCCAGUUACCUCUAUGCUUUUAUAAAAACUCAUAUUUAAAUAACUUUAGAUGUAUAGAUUAUAAAAAUAACAUGCUAAAGCCUUUGCCUUCUCAGGAACAAUUUACAAGUAUGAUUUAGAAAAACUAUUCAGCUAUUCCAAGAGAGUGUUUUGAACAAGUUGGAAAACAGAAUUAAACACCAUGUCAUGCAAAGUGGUGACUGAGUAAAUGUUUCUUUUUUCUUCCUAAGGGACUCUAGAGCACUACGAAUAUAUGCAAACAAUCUGAACUAAGGCCGCCUAAGAUGCCAAUUCAAAGUUAUUAGAGUCAUUUUAUAGGCAUUAAAAAAACACCUGGCGUUAUACUUUCAUUCUCAAAUUUCAUAAGUGCACAAAAUCUAUUUGCACAUGGUUGCACCCAGACGACGUUAAUCUUUAAUGUGGUUAAACUCCAUUUGAACGUAUGCCAAGAUAGAAGCCAUGAUUAGCUUAUCUUGAAAAUGACCACUUCAUUCUUCCCCAUUAUCAGAUAACCUCUGGUGGCGAGAGAACUGUCGUAAAGUCUUCCUGUCUGAACUCUUGAAUGGUCAUAACACUGAAGCUCUGAGCCUGACCUUUAGACCUCAUGCUGACCCAUUGCGAAUCAGACCUUCUUCAGGACUUGAAUUGAAAGCUAUUGAGCCAAUGCUUGGAGGAGUCAUUAUAGAGCUUAACGCACAGAGCAAAAGAAGGUGGAGAAUACAAUUUAAGAAAAUUUUCCUGCUGGUUAAGAAAAGGACCUUCCUGACAUGAGAAGAUCAAAAGAGAAGGAUAGAAGGGAUAGAAGCAGCCCUGAGUCCAGUCUGGGAAGGAGGAUAGGUGAACCUCCUGGAGGGUGAGACAGCGUAUGGAGCAGAGGCAGCCUCCAGCUGAGGCCCUGAGACCAAACUGCCUGUCUACACAAGGCGUGAGAGUGAGGCCAUCUUGGACCAUCCAGCCUCAGCAGAGCCAUCAGCUGACCACAGAGAUUAGCCCCGCUGGCCCAGACUAGAGGAACUGCCCAGCUAACUCAGAGGAUGGUGAGUAAUAACAAAUGACAACACAUAUAUUUAAGUACUGAGAAGCUCCCUUCACUGUCUCAUAGA